rnacentral:rRNA from 1 species
CGUAACAAGGUUUCCGUAGGUGAACCUGCGGAAGGAU